CGGACGGUGCGAGAAAUAACGUUUUGUCGAAUUCCCCUUUAAAUUUUAAGCAGAUCCAAUACGCGACGUUAUCACUUUCGAUUCCCAGUGUCGUGGUGGCGAACGUAUUGGUUUUAGAGAGAUGUAUUUUUUUUUUUUUUUUAUACAUACAGAUACGUAUACGUACAUACCGAGUACGAAAAUUCUACCGAAAAUCUUGCUGCUGCGAAGCGUCGGGUAAGCGACCAUUCUUGAAAAGGAACUAUUCUGAGACGGUGCUUACGGGAGAUAGUUUUUUUUUGUUUUCCCGGAAGUUUUCCCAAGAAACGAGAAAAACCACAGGACAAUGUGCGAAAUGUAUUAUUUGAAAAUCCUAAAUAUUACAGCCUUUUUUUUUCUGCCAGAACUUUUCUACCAGAAAUUUCGCUCCUAUUGACAAUGAAAUAAUUUUUGUCUGAAAGUGAAAUCUGACAGUGGUAGUACUUUGGGGAGGUUAUGUUUUGAUGUUUUUCGUGAGUUUUUCAAAUAAAUGAGAAAAAACAUAGGAAAAACUUGGAAAAUCGGAAAAAUAGAUGCAAUUGGAAAUAAAUAUUAUUAAAGAAAUUAUAUAAUGCAUAUAUAAUUAUUUUACCAUAAUUUGACAUACGAAUUGUUGACAAAAGUAACAAUAUUAACCGAACUCCACUCAGAAUCGUUUUUCGUUUGAAAUGUUUAACGGAUGGGAACAGACUAUAGAUAUAUAUAUUUGAUUUCCCCUAUAACUUCCCAAUUUCUUACCUACAACAUUGGUCCACGUGCGAAAUAUGUCCGUCUUUAUUUUUUUUUUCAUCUUAUUUUUGAAACCAUCUUUAAUACAUUUUACUUAUCAAACGGCAAUCUAUAUUGAAAUGCAAUAAAUAUUUAAUAUUUUAGCUGUAAAUACAUUUGGGGAUUGACAUUUUUAAUUUUCGUCAAAACUUUGAGGAAAUAUUCCACUUUUAAGUUAGUAAUUGUGUGGGACGGACUAGAGAGAGGGUAAUGGAGUCGGAGCGUUUUUAAAGUUUUUUUUUUUUUUAUAUUGCUUUAAUUAUCUUUAGUAGUUUUGACGUCGUGUCUCACAACCGAUUCUCCAACUAUCCAUUGCCAAAUCGUUCGAGUAUAGUUCGCCCCUAACGCUCCCGCGUUUUUUUUACUUCGUCCUCAUCCACGGCCAUCCAUCAAAGGUCAUUUCACUAUUGCGUCGUAUUGUAACACUGUCCAUAAUAGUAAUAGUAGGCUUAGGUUCCAGCCCACCGCAGUCUUCCUUUAUUGACGAACUCUAAAAUAUUCUUUUCUCCGAACUUUUCUUUACUUUUUUCAAACCCAGAAUUUGU